rnacentral:lncRNA from 1 species
UGCUCUUCCGCCGCGGCGCGCUCCUGAUGAGUGCUGUGUCCAGGAUGAUCAUGAAUUCAAGCUCUGGAGCUUGAGGUGAACUGGUCCGACUUCCAGAAGAGAAGGUAGGCAUCUGUGUGUAGAGUCAAGAUUUUUUUUUAUGUGUUUUUUUAAAAAUAUUUAUUUACUAUUUUUAUAUGUAAGUACACUGUAACUGUCUUCAGACACACUAGGAGAGGGUGUCAGAUGUCAUUAAGGAUGGUUGUGAGCCUCCAUGUGGUUGCUGGGAUUUGAACUCAGGAUCUUCGGAAGAGCAGUCAGUGCUCUUAACCACUGAGCCGUCUCUCCAGCCCUAGAGUCAAGGUUUUAGGUUACUUUGUCCCCUUCAUAGCAGGAACGGAUGAAUUUUGAGGCAUUCUCAUUGCAUAUAGAGAACAUGAGAAUUUUGUGUCUGUCGAACUAAAUUCCAUUAUU